rnacentral:rRNA from 1 species
GGGUUGUGAGGUUAAGCGACUAAGCGUACACGGUGGAUGCCCUGGCAGUCAGAGGCGAUGAAGGACGUGCUAAUCUGCGAUAAGCGUCGGUAAGGUGAUAUGAACCGUUAUAACCGGCGAUUUCCGAAUGGGGAAACCCAGUGUGAUUCGUCACACUAUCAUUAACUGAAUCCAUAGGUUAAUGAGGCGAACCGGGGGAACUGAAACAUCUAAGUACCCCGAGGAAAAGAAAUCAACCGAGAUUCCCCCAGUAGCGGCGAGCGAACGGGGAGCAGCCCAGAGCCUGAAUCAGUGUGUGUGUUAGUGGAAGCGUCUGGAAAGGCGCGCGAUACAGGGUGACAGCCCCGUACACAAAAAUGCACAUGCUGUGAGCUCGAUGAGUAGGGCGGGACACGUGGUAUCCUGUCUGAAUAUGGGGGGACCAUCCUCCAAGGCUAAAUACUCCUGACUGACCGAUAGUGAACCAGUACCGUGAGGGAAAGGCGAAAAGAACCCCGGCGAGGGGAGUGAAAAAGAACCUGAAACCGUGUACGUACAAGCAGUGGGAGCACAGAGCAAUCUGUGUGACUGCGUACCUUUUGUAUAAUGGGUCAGCGACUUAUAUUCUGUAGCAAGGUUAACCGAAUAGGGGAGCCGAAGGGAAACCGAGUCUUAACUGGGCGUUAAGUUGCAGGGUAUAGACCCGAAACCCGGUGAUCUAGCCAUGGGCAGGUUGAAGGUUGGGUAACACUAACUGGAGGACCGAACCGACUAAUGUUGAAAAAUUAGCGGAUGACUUGUGGCUGGGGGUGAAAGGCCAAUCAAACCGGGAGAUAGCUGGUUCUCCCCGAAAGCUAUUUAGGUAGCGCCUCGUGAAUUCAUCUCCGGGGGUAGAGCACUGUUUCGGCAAGGGGGUCAUCCCGACUUACCAACCCGAUGCAAACUGCGAAUACCGGAGAAUGUUAUCACGGGAGACACACGGCGGGUGCUAACGUCCGUCGUGAAGAGGGAAACAACCCAGACCGCCAGCUAAGGUCCCAAAGUCAUGGUUAAGUGGGAAACGAUGUGGGAAGGCCCAGACAGCCAGGAUGUUGGCUUAGAAGCAGCCAUCAUUUAAAGAAAGCGUAAUAGCUCACUGGUCGAGUCGGCCUGCGCGGAAGAUGUAACGGGGCUAAACCAUGCACCGAAGCUGCGGCAGCGACGCUUAUGCGUUGUUGGGUAGGGGAGCGUUCUGUAAGCCUGCGAAGGUGUGCUGUGAGGCAUGCUGGAGGUAUCAGAAGUGCGAAUGCUGACAUAAGUAACGAUAAAGCGGGUGAAAAGCCCGCUCGCCGGAAGACCAAGGGUUCCUGUCCAACGUUAAUCGGGGCAGGGUGAGUCGACCCCUAAGGCGAGGCCGAAAGGCGUAGUCGAUGGGAAACAGGUUAAUAUUCCUGUACUUGGUGUUACUGCGAAGGGGGGACGGAGAAGGCUAUGUUGGCCGGGCGACGGUUGUCCCGGUUUAAGCGUGUAGGCUGGUUUUCCAGGCAAAUCCGGAAAAUCAAGGCUGAGGCGUGAUGACGAGGCACUACGGUGCUGAAGCAACAAAUGCCCUGCUUCCAGGAAAAGCCUCUAAGCAUCAGGUAACAUCAAAUCGUACCCCAAACCGACACAGGUGGUCAGGUAGAGAAUACCAAGGCGCUUGAGAGAACUCGGGUGAAGGAACUAGGCAAAAUGGUGCCGUAACUUCGGGAGAAGGCACGCUGAUAUGUAGGUGAAGUCCCUCGCGGAUGGAGCUGAAAUCAGUCGAAGAUACCAGCUGGCUGCAACUGUUUAUUAAAAACACAGCACUGUGCAAACACGAAAGUGGACGUAUACGGUGUGACGCCUGCCCGGUGCCGGAAGGUUAAUUGAUGGGGUUAGCGCAAGCGAAGCUCUUGAUCGAAGCCCCGGUAAACGGCGGCCGUAACUAUAACGGUCCUAAGGUAGCGAAAUUCCUUGUCGGGUAAGUUCCGACCUGCACGAAUGGCGUAAUGAUGGCCAGGCUGUCUCCACCCGAGACUCAGUGAAAUUGAACUCGCUGUGAAGAUGCAGUGUACCCGCGGCAAGACGGAAAGACCCCGUGAACCUUUACUAUAGCUUGACACUGAACAUUGAGCCUUGAUGUGUAGGAUAGGUGGGAGGCUUUGAAGUGUGGACGCCAGUCUGCAUGGAGCCGACCUUGAAAUACCACCCUUUAAUGUUUGAUGUUCUAACGUGGACCCGUAAUCCGGGUUGCGGACAGUGUCUGGUGGGUAGUUUGACUGGGGCGGUCUCCUCCUAAAGAGUAACGGAGGAGCACGAAGGUUGGCUAAUCCUGGUCGGACAUCAGGAGGUUAGUGCAAUGGCAUAAGCCAGCUUGACUGCGAGCGUGACGGCGCGAGCAGGUGCGAAAGCAGGUCAUAGUGAUCCGGUGGUUCUGAAUGGAAGGGCCAUCGCUCAACGGAUAAAAGGUACUCCGGGGAUAACAGGCUGAUACCGCCCAAGAGUUCAUAUCGACGGCGGUGUUUGGCACCUCGAUGUCGGCUCAUCACAUCCUGGGGCUGAAGUAGGUCCCAAGGGUAUGGCUGUUCGCCAUUUAAAGUGGUACGCGAGCUGGGUUUAGAACGUCGUGAGACAGUUCGGUCCCUAUCUGCCGUGGGCGCUGGAGAACUGAGGGGGGCUGCUCCUAGUACGAGAGGACCGGAGUGGACGCAUCACUGGUGUUCGGGUUGUCAUGCCAAUGGCACUGCCCGGUAGCUAAAUGCGGAAGAGAUAAGUGCUGAAAGCAUCUAAGCACGAAACUUGCCCCGAGAUGAGUUCUCCCUGACCCUUUAAGGGUCCUGAAGGAACGUUGAAGACGACGACGUUGAUAGGCCGGGUGUGUAAGCGCAGCGAUGCGUUGAGCUAACCGGUACUAAUGAACCGUGAGGCUUAACCUUACAACGCCGAAG